AAUUUUUUUAUAAUAUUGUAGAGGUUAUUCUUAUAUAGAGUAUUUUUAAAUAGGGGUUUUACUGUAUCACAAAGAAAUAUUCGACUCGAACAUUUGUGAAUUGCUAUCACAAAAUUGUUCAACUCCAAAACUUGGCAUAUGUCCUGGAGGUAUAUCGCUUGUAACUCAUAGCAAACCAUUUGUGGUGAGUGUGAUAAAGACCUUAAGGACAGAGAUUACUCGUGUCAUGUUUUUCGAUUAUUUUUUCGAUUAUGACUCUACGAAGCUACGGUUUUAACAUUAACAAGUACCAACUUAUUAUUAAAGAUUUAUUACCUAAUAAAAUACUAUUACUAUAAAUAACUAAAUAAAAAUAAAUUCAGUCCUUCGACUUCCGAAGUCAUGACGCCAAUCCUGAAGAAGUUCGCCAUACCCGAAGUCAUGACGUUACCCGAAGCCGAAUUCCCGACCUCGAAAACAUGAAUGAACCAAACGCUUGAUCCCGAAGUCAACCGAUACCGUUGCGCUGAUCCCUUAACUCAUGGUCGUUUAGUGUCAUCAUCGAAUUGUCUGAAACUCUCCAUCAUCGGCCUCAGAUCCUCCUGCAUCAACUGACGUCGGGCGGGAUAGCGAUUAUCCUACGGGAUACUAACAAAUAAAUUCACAAGUAAAGGAACAAAAGAUUCACUUAAAAAAAUAUAGAGAAACUUCUCUAAUGCUUGAGUUUAUAUUUAUCAAAAUCGAAGUUAAUUAUCUUUCAUUCAACCCACAAACUAGGUUUUAUAGCUAAUAAAAACUUUCUCUCCAAGUCACUCUAAAAUCUUCUUUUAGAGAUACGGAAAAAAAAAUCCUCCUAGAGAUACGAAAACAAAAAUCCUAACAAACUUCCUAAAAAUAUGGAAACAAAAUCUUAACAAGUAACAACUUAUUAUAAAAGAUUUACUACAUAAUAAAAUACUAUUACUAUAAAUAACUAAAUAAUAAUAAUAAAGUCAGUCAGUCAUUCGACUUCCGAAGUCAUUACGCCAUUCCUGAAGAAGUUCGUCAUACCUAAAGUCAUGACGUCAUCCAAAAUCGAACUCCCGACCCCGAAGACAUGAACCGAACGCCUGACCCCGAAGUCAACCGAUACCGUUGCGCUGAUCCCUUAACUCAUGGUCCUUUAGUGUCAUCAUCGAACUAUCUGACCACUCUGUAUCAUCGGCCUCGAAUACUCCUACAUCAGAUUCAUGUAACUUCUUAAAAUAUUAAAUAUUAUAAUUCAUGAUACUUUUUAUAUAGUUUAUAAUUUCAUAUAUAAUUGUAUUAUCUAAAUUAAAUUAGUUCGUGGUAGUUUUAAUUUAAAAUUAUCUCAAUUGACAUUAAAAAAUAAUAUUGAGCCUGUAUUUUAGAACUAUAUAUAUAUAUAUAUAUAUAUAUAUAUAUAUAGAGAGAGAGAGAGUCCGGAUCUAGUUCCAUAAAAUAUUAAAACUUUUUUUUAGUUGUUUUAAAAAAAAUGCAAAAAAUAAUAAUAAUGUUAAAGGUCCGUAUUUUAAGCUUGUCCGGGAAUCCUGUAACGCCCCCAAAAUAGGGACAAUCUCUCUCCCCGGUCUUGUGCGUUAAUAUUAUCUUGUUCUAGCUUUAAAACAUUGUUUAAUGUUAAAAUAGCUAAAAAUACGGAAUAAUUUUUUUUUCUUUUCAUUCAUUCCCUGAAUCGCAACCUUUACAAUUCUUCUCUAUACUAGGAUCAUAUUUAUUAUAUGACUUAUUUAGCCUGAGUAGAUAUGAGUAUAUAUAUACAAUUCAUUCUUUCAAGCAUAUCCCCUUUUUAGUAAUCUCCAAUUACCGAAUAAUUCAAAAAUUUAUACAUCUGUGAUUUACACAUGAAAAUACCAUCAAAUGAUUCGACACAAUCUCAAUUAAAUCACUAGUCUUCUAUUUAUGCGCUGCUAAUCACGAUAGAUCGCAUCAUAGAUUUAACCUGCAAAUUAAGCAAGAUUGAGCACGACGGCCCAACAAGUCUAACAGUCUAUCAUGCAUCACGUAGCACAUAGGUUUCACAUUCAACAUAGGUUUCACAUUCAGUUCAUGCAUUUAUAUUCUUGGUGUUCAAGCAUAUUACAAAUGCAUUAUCACAUUUAUGUCCUGCUGGUAGCAACUUACAUACCAUAGCAUACUACACAUGUCAUGUACAUGUCAUUCAUUGCACAUAUAUAUUGAGUUCCCCGACUCAAUUCAAUAAUUAGUCAUAAUUUGACAUUCAUCGUUCACAAAGCAAAUAAUGCAUUUCAUAAGUAUUACAUACUUAUAAACAUAAAUCAUGCUAACAGUUAUCUAUAACAAUUAUAAGUCCACAUAAAUAAACUGAGAAACUUGCAUUGUUCGUAGAUUAUUGGUACAAUUUCAACUUAACCUGUGUAUUCUCACCGAUCCUACACAAUUAUUUGCAUUUACAAGCAUAUUAGCCAAAUAACCAAGUCAUAUAGCUUAUAUGUUCACAUAUCACAUAAUCACAGUGAUCAUGUUUUUAGUUCAUGUUCUAUAUUUAAGAUACAUUUUUUAAAUAUCUCAUCCAUAUUCUUAUAAUAACCUUUUCUUUCUUUCAUAGGGUUUGACAUAAUUUUUGUUCAUAAACUUUCCAUGAUUUUAGUUCAUACUCCUUUUAUUUCUUUUGUUUGCCGUAAAUAUACUUUGUAAUCCUCUUUAUAACUUAGGUAUUCAAGGUGAAUAGCUAAGGUAUUUCAUGAUUGUAUAUCAAAAUGGUAGAACUUUUAGUUUCUAAUUUGCUUUGCAAAUCAUAUUGUCAAACGAUUCGCUUAAUCGUAUUGCAUUUCUUAGUUACGUCAAAACAGCCUUCUUUGACCAAAAAAUAUAUGCAGCCUUUAUUGAUGCUAUAAUAAGUUUCUUGCAUAAUUUCAUUUGACUUUAGCAGCCUCUUAUCAUUACACUAUGAUGAGGCUAAAUUUUCCUUGCUAUUCUUUUGUUUUCCCCCUAUUUAACUAAGUGAGCCUAAUAACUCACUUAACUAAACAAACAGUUUCUUAACAAAGUUUGUUUUAAAUUAGCAGCUCUUUAUUGCCAACUUCUACUGCUGUCAUUAUUGUUCAAGGUUAGCAGUCCUGUUCUCCCCUAUUCAACUUCCCUUUUGUAACUUUAUAACUUAUGCUAUGCAAACUUGCUUCAGCCCAAGUUUUAGCAUAAUUGUUUUAUAUUUUAGCCAUCUAUUAAUACGAAUGUUAGGCUUCUUAACUCAAAAUUUUCAAGCUACCUAAACUACUAGCAACUGCUGCUAUUUGCCACUGCUGGUUAUGAGCAGCAGUUUCCCCCCCUUCCAUGCUUAACAUUUCAGUCAUCAUCUCUUCUUUUAUCAAUAUAUAGAUACACAAUACAAAACAGUGUUCAAACAUAGCCGGUUGCAUUAAUUUUUUUUUUUUUUAACAUAUUAUCUGCAGGCUCUGCAACACAGCACAGCGCUGGGCGCUGGCUGCUGCUGCCAGCAGCAGCACCGACUAGCCCAAACCUCCUCUUCCUGUACAAAUUUAUCUCUCUUUUUUUUAUGUUCUAGACAUUACCGACCUGUUAAUAUUAGUUGGGCAAACUUGAGGGUCCAACUGUGCUAAAUAUAAACUCAAGAGAAUACUAACUCAAACAACCAUUGCUGCUACUGAAGCAGCAGCUUUGACACUAGGCUUCCACUAAUUAUUUUUUAAAAAAACUUUGUAGCAUAGAUAAGUUUACACCAACUCUAGGUAUAAUAUACAGAGUAUAUGGAAGUAUUUUGAGCUUAUUGAACCCCUCCAUGUCAGCUUUAUAUACUGCCCAAAACAGAGUGUUCAAAUGACUUGACAUACUAAGUCUAACUUUUCAUUGUUAAUUAAAAAUUGAGCUUUGUUCUAGCUUGACACACUCAAACCCUCUAAUUAGCAUCACAUAUGAUUAAUAAAUCAAGCCCAAGCUCUAAUUCUACCAAAGUUCUGAUUUUAGAUAAAAAUAGUUCAUUGGAGCAUUCUAACAAACACCUUACGUACACAGUUUUAAAACACUCUUUUCAUAGCUAUUGGUUUGUUUUAAAAACCCAGUUUAGCUCCCUUAUUGCUCCAUACAACCCAGCCUAUUCUUCUUUGUUCUAUUCCAGUCCAUAGCAGUUGGUUUCACAGUUAAACCAAACAUAUUGACUGAGAGCAAUAACUAAAUACCUACUAGCAUUCCUCUAAUUUAAAAGUUUGAUAUUAACAAACAGUGAGUUCAAUAACCCAUUCUUUGUCAUGAAAGUUAAACUUACCAAUUUAUUCAAUCGUUUAACCCAACAUCACAGAUAUAUAUCUCAUAUAGAUUUUCAUCAACCAAAACUAAAUCAUCAAUUCACAUAGGCCUAAUUUCUUGACAUAAAAAGAUAAUAAUACCUGGAUACUUAGAUAACUUCUGUGGUAUUACUUCCUUUAGCUUCCAAUUUCGAUCCUCACUUCUUAAUUUUAUUUUACUGGAGCAAAGCUUGGAGUUGUGUGAUAUAGGGAGAAAGAAAGACGCUGAGCUGAAUAUGAGAAGGAAAGAGUAGAAGAAAACUGAGCUUUUUAGCUUGAUUACCCCCCUAGCUUAGCUUGGUGUUAUGCCUAUUAAGAUAAUGGCAUGACACGUCCUACAUACCUUAAUGUCGACUCUGCUCUUGGUUUAAGGUAAUACCCCAGCUCAUGCUUCUAAUGUCUCAGCUCAAAUACUAAGCCCUGUUUGUUUAAUACAUUCCUUCAAUAAAUUAUUAAAGCCUACAACUUUAUUAACAUAAUUCCAUAGUACCAAAUUCAUUAUAUUAUAACUAAUAUUUUGUACUACAAUUUCCUUACAAUAAAAUAACUUAAACUAAUAAAUUAUUU
rnacentral:lncRNA from 1 species